rnacentral:rRNA from 1 species
CCUACGGGGGGCUGCAGUGGGGAAUAUUGCACAAUGGGGGAAACCCUGAUGCAGCGACGCCGCGUGAGUGAAGAAGUAUUUCGGUACGUAAAGCUCUAUCAGCAGGGAAGAAAAUGACGGUACCUGACUAAGAAGCCCCGGCUAACUACGUGCCAGCAGCCGCGGUAAUACGUAGGGGGCAAGCGUUAUCCGGAUUUACUGGGUGUAAAGGGAGCGUGGACGGCAGCGCAAGUCUGGAGUGAAAUCCCAUGGCUUAACCAUGGAACUGCUUUGGAAACUGUGCAGCUAGAGUGCAGGAGAGGUAAGCGGAAUUCCUAGUGUAGCGGUGAAAUGCGUAGAUAUUAGGAGGAACACCAGUGGCGAAGGCGGCUUACUGGACUGUAACUGACGUUGAGGCUCGAAAGCGUGGGGAGCAAACAGGAUUAGAUACCCUGGUAGUC